UCAGGAAUUCAUCCAGAUCAUCUCUCUCCCUCCCCUCCUACUGCAAAGUUUAUUUUUAACCAACGAUUUGGAUGGGCCUGCGAGAAGGAGAAGCAUCUUUUAACCCAAUUGGCCUCCGCUCCCUGCAACUACAUCCUCCUCCGGCUCGCUCUCCUCUUCCUUCUCCAGCAAUUUUUUUGCUGUUGCGUUGGGGUUGUGCGAGAGAGGGAAAAGCUUUUAUGAUUUGAAGAUGAUGGGGAGCGAAGUAGCUCCCCUCUAAGUUGAAGUGGAGUCGACUCUCUCUCAAGGUACAACUCUUCCCCCCCCCAACCCCCCACCAGACGCUUUGGUCUCUUUUUCCUCUCUCUCUCUUUUGGGCAUCUGCUAACUUUUCCCCCUCCUUGUUCGCAAGGGCGGUUGCUGGAAGCAUCUGUGUGUGUCUCGUUUCUGUCGCUCCCUUUUAAUAUAUAUAUAAUUGUACUUUGGUACUUCUCGUUCCCUUUGCCCUCCCCUCCCCUUCACCCUCGGGGAUGGGGGGGGGAGAGAGAGGGAGAGGUUGGAGCCUUCACAAGAUCAGUUCUGCUUCUCUCUCUCUCUCGCUUGGCCUUCAGCAAAGGUGCGCGCGCGUCAUCCUUCUCCUUUCCUCCUUGAAUACUUUGGAAGGGUUCGGCGUGUUUUAUGGUCCUUUGGGGUAUGUGUAUGCGUAUGUGCGGGAGGGUAUCUGCGCUUCCUUUUCUCCCCCCCCCCCCGUUGUACUGGGUCCGAGGGACAUCUUUCUCCCCCCCCCACCCCUUCCAAUGGAUUAUAGGAGGAAACGCACACACGCAUCGUCACGAGUACAGGAAGGAGCCCCGCGUGCGUCCGAACCUAGGAAAAUGUGUCGCGUGUCCUAUUUACUUCUGUUUUCUUCUUUUACUUCUGCGUCGAAUUCUGAACUUAACUGGUCCAGAUAUAAAGUGCAUUUCUGAAGAGCGACCUGAAGCUUAGAAAGGGUUGCUGUGUUGCGGUGUCCAUGAUCUGGUGUGUUUUUGAGCUUUCCUGAUUCGGGCAGGGCUAGUUCACUUCGACAUAACAGCAAAUGCUAUGAAAAUGAACAAGCCAAUCUAGCAAAAAACUAGGUUUAGAAGCGGAAAUUAUAAUACGAGAACCCAGAUUUUCAGGCUCUGUUGGUCCGCUAGGUAAGUCGCUUGCGGCGCGUGCAUCUCUGCGGCUCCUUAAUAGCUAGUGGAUGCAGCCCAUAGUGGCAAGCAGAGCUCUGGCCCCACUCAGUCUGCAUUUAUUUCCUGGCACCACCCUGUUAAGGACACCGGCAUUGCCCUUUGACAUGCAUACGUCGUUGGUGGGACUGGCAUCAUAAACUGUGUGGUGCCAUCUAGCACAUGCACCCUGGUCCGGCCCAAAGCCCUGCUCAGUGCAGCUAGAACCAGGUUGCGCCCUUAAUGGCCUACCCACAUGUACUUGGCUGGCGCCACUGCUAAGACUGUCAGCCCCAACUGUGGUGUAUGUAUAUAUUCUCUUUCUGUGUGUAGGGGUGCCAGUGCCAUUAACAAGGCAGCACCCAUGCCAAGGGGAUGGAUUUCUGCUUGCCGUAGCUGCCACCCAGCAGAGUUGCAUUAGCUGAUCUGGUACCAGCCCUUGGCAUUUCCCCCCAUCAUGCUGAAUACUGGCACCAUGCCAGCGUGAAGCAGCCGGAUUAAGAUUGUUAUCUUUAAAAAUUGGGGAAAUAAGUCAUCUCCAAGCCUCCAGAGGAUAAUAAAAUAGGAACCAGGCAAGCCUCUGCUCAAAUCUCACCUGCUCUAUAAGCUCACACGGAAACUUUAGACAAGCUGAUAUGUCUCAGCCUCUUCCUCCAGCCUGUAGUAGGGUAGAAUGCUGGUCUACCUUACAGGGCUGGUGUCAAGAAUACUAUGCGAAAUAUGCCGAGCCCUUAGAAAACAACAACAGAAUUUUAAGUUUUGCUUGCUUGUGGUUGUCUUCUAAAUGUAGUUUAGAAAAGGAGCACUGCAGCUUUUCAAACAGGUGGGGAGUAGCAUCUUCCAAACCCUGACCAAUCCCAUCUUUAACUUUUUACUACUAACGCUGCUACUUCUUUCUCUCUCUCAAUAAAUAUGUUCCAAAGAUUUCCUUGUGCUUUCUUAUCACUAAAAGGCAAUGUCCUUCCUGUCCUCUGCUUGAGUGCACCUGUUACUCCUUAAAACUAGUCCGUGGGACCAAAAUGUUCUCAAAGAGUACGCGUAUAGAACUUAAUAAUUUGGGGGUUUAUUGUCUUGUUAGAAAAAGCUGUUCAUUUCCUAUAUGUUGCCAGGAAGAGGAGGUUCAUGUUGCUGUGGAAUUGACAGCCUGGCAUCGUUCAGGAAAAAUAAAACACCUCUGAAUAUUCUUUUCCACAUUGAAAAGGGGGACCCUGGUUUUGGGGUUGAGAGUACAAACCAGUUAAAUUUGGGAUGUCUGGAGAUGAUGUAAGAUACCUGUUGGUCUCUUCAGGGAGAUUUGUGAAGGCCAGAGACACAACUUGGUGGGAAAUAAACAAUUUUACUUACUGUUUCAACUCCCAAUGUAACCCAGGAGAGGAUUUGUGGACAAACAUUUGCAAAAUAACAGGGGCACCCCCUCCCCACUCGAAGGACAGCCUUGAAAUAUCCUUUUGGUCAAUUAUGAAGGUCACAUGUGGACCGAUCUCCUAAAAUGAGACAGAACCUUGCACAUAUUAAUGUUUUAUACUCCUUGUUUCUCCCUUCCUGUUUCUCCUCCUGCAACCCCUCGACCUCCAGCUUGCUUGAUGGCUUCACAUACUGAUCAAACAUUGACAUAACUGAGGUAUUCUGAGCUCAGCUGGUUUUGUCUCAAGCGAGAGUCACCAUUAAGGUGUGGGAUCUGCAAACUGCUGUUCUGCCAUCUAGACAGAAGGCAUGGUCUACCUGUUGGAUGUAUGGACUGGGGUUCUUUAUCACCCUGGUACCACUAAAGGGAUACUGUUUUGUGUAAAAAGCCUCUGGCUGAAUAGCUCAAAACUCCUUGAAACAUUUAUAAGGGGUUGGACUACAAUGACAGUUAGCACCAGAUGUUUCCUUUUUCUGGUGCAAGUGUGGAAAUGGUGUAGCUGCUAUUAGGAAAGCAAACUAGGUGCUCCUGUUUAGUUGAUGAAAAUGCAAAAUCUGUAUGUUGGGGUGUCAAAAUGCCUUAUUUUCCUGUUUUACUUAUAAAGCGCAUAAUGCAUGGUCUGUCUCUCCGCCCCCCCCCCUUCACUCAGCCUCCUCUUUGCCAUUCCUCCUCCCCAACCCCAGCUUUCCAUAUAUUUUCUAUUAUACUGUUCAUUUUGCCUUGGGGCAACCUUUUCAGUAAUGAGUGACAAUGCUCAACAGUAGCUCUCAUUCAUUUUCAGCGCCACAUGUGUGUUUAUUUUUAAUUGAUAUUCUGCAUAUAACAUUUUCUGCAGCUGAGGCAUCUCCCUCCCUCCCCCUGAAACACUUUUUUUUUAAACACUCCCUCUGAAAAGCGUCAGCAGUGGAUUGUUUCAUUUGCAGAACUUAAAGCCCCAGAACAGAGGCUCUUCCAGUUUUUAUGAAUGCCCUGUUUGUUGCUGGAAGCACAACUGUUCGAUAUAACUGGCUGCAUCCCACUCUGCUUGGGUCCAGUUUGGUCUGCAGAAGGUCUUUUGCACAAACCAGAUUUCUUGGGUGUGUUUGAAGCAACAUCAUUUUGUCUUCUGGCAGUUGAGUUCUUUUUUAUCCCUUUCCAUCUGUAAAAAGAGUAAUGCACCUUUUCCUCCCCAGAUGCAGUCAUAAUCAAUCAAUCAAUCAAUCAAUCAAUCAAUCAAUGCAGCAGUGCAGAUGAGAACUGCACAGUUGUUAUUUAUCGGACAUGCUCAGGUGGUGAUGGCUGUAACGUUUCUUGCUUUCUGUAUAUUUUGGGGCUUCUCUUAAUGAUCCCUUGCAGAUUUGCAGAGGUCCCUCCGAAUGACACAUUG
ensembl:lncRNA